AGUGAACGCUGGCGGUAUGCCUAACACAUGCAAGUCGAACGGCAACACGUUAAGCUCUCGCUUUUACGGGUGGCGAGUGGCGUAUGGGUAAGGAAUACAUCGGGAUCUACUUUUUCUUGGGGGAUAACGUAAGACCGCAUACGAUAAUACCGCAUACGCGCUACGGCUGAAAGCAGGGGAUCUUCGGAGCUUGCGCGAUUGGAUUAGCUGAUUUCGGAUUAGCUAGUUGGCGGGGUAAAGGCCCACCAAGGCGACGAUCCGUAGCUGGUCUGAGAGGAUGAUCAGCCACACUGGAACUGAGACACGGUCCAGACUCCUACGGGAGGCAGCAGUGGGGAAUAUUGGACAAUGGGCGCAAGCCUGAUCCAGCCAUGCCGCGUGGGUGAAGAAGGCCUUCGGGUUGUAAAGCCCUUUUGUUAGGGAAGAAAAGCUGCAGGUUAAUACCCGGCUGUCCUGACGGUACCUAAAGAAUAAGCACCGGCUAACUUCGUG
rnacentral:rRNA from 1 species